CUUCACCAGUGAACAUACACAGAGAGGAAAUAAGCACACAAAAAGUGUGCAAUGUCAUUAGGGAAAUGUAAAUUAAAAUCACAACAUGAUACCACUACCAAUUUACUGAAAUGGCUAAAAUUAGAAAGACUGGCCAUACCAAGUGUUGCCAAGGGUGUGGGGGAACUAGAGCUCUUAUACAUAUGCACUUUUGGUGGCAUUUAAUAUGGUAUAAACCACUUUAGAAAACAGUUGAGCAAUUCCUUAAAAAGUUAAACAUAUGAUCCUGGCAUUCCAUUCCUAGGUAUUUACCCAAGAGAAAUAAAAAGCUUAUGUCCACACAAAGACUUCCACAAAAAUAUUUGUAACAACUUUAUCUUUAGUAACCAAAACUAGAAACAAUCCAAAUGUCUAUCAACAGGUGAAUAGAUAAGCAGAUUGUGGUAUAUCCAUGCAGUGGGAUUUUACUGAGCAGUGAAAACGGAAUGAACUACUGAUACACACUACAACAUGGAUGAAUCUCAAAAUAAUUAUGUGGUCAAAGAAGCCAGGCCAAGUGCAUAUGGCAGGAUCCCACUUAGAUGACAUUGUAGAAAAUGUACACUAAAACCUAUAGUGACAGAAAAAGAUCAGUGGUUGCCUAGGGAGAGUGAGGAGUGUGACCAAAAGAUUACAAAGGAUAAGAAAAAAAUUUUCAGGGAAAUAUUAUGAUGUCACAAGUGGACGCAAGGUCAAAAAUGUCGAAUUUUCCACUUCAAAUAUGUGCAGUUUAUUAUAUACCAAUUAUCCCUUGAUGAAGCUGUUAAAAAAUAGCAAGUGAUAAUUGUGAUGUCAUGUAGGUAGAGAGGAAAGGUGGAGGGGGGGUUGUUGCUUCUCAGGCAGCUUCACAAAGGAGGGGAGAUUAUUUUUGUGACUAUUGGAAGUUUGAGGAUAUCGUCAAGAAAAUACCAAAAGAAGUUCACGGUAAGGGUAAGCUUAAAGGAGAUUGAAGUUCAUGAGAAAGAACAUCAAAAUAGCCCUGGCUGUAUAAUCUCCAUGGAUCUUCAUGAUAGAUUCAGAGGAAGUAGAUCUAGGAAGAGAGAAAAAGUGAAGACGUGUUUGAGAACAAAAGAGAGAAGGAAGAAGAAAGAGUUCUGCAAGCUUCUCAUGCUUCCUCUGACCCAGUUGCACUGCUGUCCUUAAGUUCUGCAAAUGGACUGCCAUUCUGGUUAUUUCCAACACUGCCAUUGGUGAUCAGAGCAACUUGCUUCCAUCUGCCUAAACAGGACUGGUGGGAGGAGCCCUCCUAUGUGGUGACUGCCUGAGUUGCCAGGACCCAGUCCCUGUUAGGGGCUCACCAGAGAGAGCUUUGCUGGCGUCUUUCCAAAGUUAUGCCAUUGAGUUUUGUGUAGGUGAAGUAUUACUUGCACUGUGUUGGCUCAGUGUCUGGCUGUAGGCAGAAUAUGCUUACCUCCAAUCCCAUUCAUAAAGAAUGUUUAUCUUUUUAUGCGUCUGUUUUCCGACCUCCCAAACACAAGGGCACAAAAAUCACAGAAGAGUAUUAUCUUUCAUUCAGCU
rnacentral:lncRNA from 1 species